rfam:Ovis aries breed Texel chromosome 4, whole genome shotgun sequence.
UGGCUCAGACAGUAAAGCGUCUGCCUACAAUGCAGGAGACCAGGGUUCAAUCCCUG